rnacentral:rRNA from 1 species
AGUGAACGCUGGCGGUAGGCCUAACACAUGCAAGUCGAACGGCAGCACAGUAAGAGCUUGCUCUUACGGGUGGCGAGUGGCGGACGGGUGAGGAAUACAUCGGAAUCUACUUUUUCGUGGGGGAUAACGUAGGGAAACUUACGCUGAUACCGCAUACGACCUACGGGUGAAAGCAGGGGAUCUUCGGACCUUGCGCGAUUGAAUGAGCCGAUGUCGGAUUAGCUAGUUGGCGGGGUAAAGGCCCACCAAGGCGACGAUCCGUAGCUGGCCUGAGAGGAUGAUCAGCCACACUGGAACUGAGACACGGUCCAGACUCCUACGGGAGGCAGCAGUGGGGAAUAUUGGACAAUGGGCGCAAGCCUGAUCCAGCCAUACCGCGUGGGUGAAGAAGGCCUUCGGGUUGUAAAGCCCUUUUGUUGGGAAAGAAAAGCAGCAGGUUAAUACCCCGCUGUUCUGACGGUACCCAAAGAAUAAGCACCGGCUAACUUCGUG